UACAGAGGUCUCGAGCGUUGUUCGGAUUCAUUGGGCGUAAAGGGUGCGUAGGCGGCGCGGUAAGUCGGGUGUGAAAUCUCGGGGCUUAACUCCGAAACUGCAUUCGAUACUGCCGUGCUUGAGGACUGGAGAGGAGACUGGAAUUUACGGUGUAGCGGUGAAAUGCGUAGAUAUCGUAAGGAAGACCAGUGGCGAAGGCGGGUCUCUGGACAGUUCCUGACGCUGAGGCACGAAGGCCAGGGGGAGCAAAACGGG
rnacentral:rRNA from 1 species